UGUUUUUUUAAGUGUCAACAAAUCAAUCUCAAGCAACUCCGAAAGUAACUCGAGUGGUUCACCACCAAUUUUGGGAAAAACCCGGUAACUCAUCCGUCCGUAGGCACGACGGUAAAUUAUCAGUAAAACCCGUUUGACUCAAAUAUCAAACCCGUUUUUUUUUAAUCAAAGAAAACAAAAAAGAAUUUGUGGCUAUUUAUGAAGUGGGUCGGUUGCAAAAGUGGUUGGUGAGGACUGGGUGGCGUGCGGUGGCCGGUGGCCCUACCGUCGUCAUUCUCUAUACGACACUCUAUCUCCGGUGGGUCCAUAUUCUCUUCCAAACUAUAAUUAUAUAUCCUCCAGACUAGCAUCUUCACCUGCACAUGUUUUUUUCCUUUUUUUUUCUUUUUGAUUUUUUUUUCAGUGUUAAUAAAGAUGGGACCGUUGCAGUCUUCUUCUGAUGAGUCCUGAAAUUCUCUGGUAGCAAAAUAAUUAUGUUUGAUUUCCUGAUUUUUUAAUUUAUAUAUAUGCUAUGAUUUAUAGUUAUUUCUACAGGGCUACAAAACAAAUGUUUGGUGAACAAUUCAUGAACUCUUCGGCACUAAGUUUGUUUGUGUUUGUUUAUUUAUUAAAUAAAUGAACACGAAAAAAAUUCGUUUGUUUUAGUUAAAUGAACAAAUAUGAACAGUGUCCGCGUUCGUUCAUUUAUGUUCGUGAACAUUUGGUAACGUAUUUGUUUUUGUUCGAUAGUUCAUUAAUGUUUUAGUUUUUAUAUUUUAUUUAAAUACAUCAAGAUUUCGACAAAUUAAAUAUUUGAUAUGUGUUAGUGUGUUAUAUAUACUUUGUUCAUGAACGUUUAUUUGUGUUUGUUUGUUUCCAUUUGUGUUUAUAAACAUUAGUUUGUGCUCAUAUGUGUUAAUUAAUGUUUGUUUUUGUUCGUAGCCUGAAGUUAACAAAUGAACACGAACAAAUUCAUUUCCUUAACAAACGAAUACGAACACAAAAUCUCGUUCAAGUUGUAGAUUUAUAGUUCUUGAUGAGGUUUGAUCAAAUCAAGACUCGAAGAUGUGGGAUUUGUCCAACAAGUUACCAAACCACCUAUAAGGACUCGCCAUUUUUGAUAAUGCUUGUGCCCUCGUACCGAAUUAGACAUGAGCGAAUAUGAUAUAUACCAUUAGUAACAUCCGACUUUAAACCAAACAAUAUUAUCCGUUAUGCCUUACAAGAGUAGUUCACGAGCGGUUUGCCUCAUAUACACCUCUAGUUUUGCACUUUUGCCUACAAUGAACUCACGACUGUGUUUUUUGCUUGUCUGGGUGGGGAUUUCUCAGGACGUUAUCCAUCUUGGAGUUACUCUCAUCUAAGAACACUUUUGCGAAGUUCCCAUCUUAACCACGACCAAUAAUUCCAAAAUAUGUUGGUGAUAUCUGAGGUCAGACCUUCCUUACGAGCACAUUAUCUCUCCUGUUCCGAGCGAUGUAUAUUUCCUAAAAGUCUUAGAAGGUUUGUUGUUGUAAA